rnacentral:rRNA from 1 species
GAUGAACGCUAGCUACAGGCUUAACACAUGCAAGUCGCGGGGCAGCAUGGGGGUUGCUUGCAAUCCCCGAUGGCGACCGGCGCACGGGUGAGUAACGCGUAUCCAACCUGCCCUUCACCACGGGAUAACCCGGCGAAAGUCGGACUAAUACCGUAUGUUGUCCAUUGACGGCAUCCGAUUUGGACGAAAGGUUUGGCGGUGAAGGAUGGGGAUGCGUCCGAUUAGCUGGACGGCGGGGUGACGGCCCACCGUGGCGACGAUCGGUAGGGGUUCUGAGAGGAAGGUCCCCCACACUGGAACUGAGACACGGUCCAGACUCCCACGGGAGGCAGCAGUGAGGAAUAUUGGUCAAUGGGCGUAAGCCUGAACCAGCCAAGUAGCGUGCAGGAUGACGGCCCUAUGGGUUGUAAACUGCUUUUAUGCGGGGAUAAAGUGGCCCACGUGUGGGUUUUUGCAGGUACCGCAUGAAUAAGGACCGGCUAAUUCCGUG